rnacentral:hammerhead_ribozyme from 1 species
AUCCAGCUGAUGAGUCCUAAAUAGGACGAAACGCGAUCCUUAGAU